AACGAACGCUGGCGGCAUGCCUAACACAUGCAAGUCGAACGAGACCUUCGGGUCUAGUGGCGCACGGGUGCGUAACGCGUGGGAACCUGCCCUUAGGUUCGGAAUAACUCCCCGAAAGGGGUGCUAAUACCGGAUAAUGUCUUCGGACCAAAGAUUUAUCGCCUUUGGAUGGGCCCGCGUUGGAUUAGCUAGGUGGUAGGGUAAAAGCCUAUCAAGGCGACGAUCCAUAGCUGGUCUGAGAGGAUGAUCAGCCACACUGGGACUGAGACACGGCCCAGACUCCUACGGGGGGGAGGAGUGGGGAAUAUUGGGCAAUGGGGCGAAGCCUGAUCCAGCAAUGCCGGGUGAGUGGUGAAGGCCUUAGGGUUGUAAAGCUCUUUUACCCGGGAUGAUAAUGACAGUACCGGGAGAAUAAGCUCCGGCUAACUCCGUG
rnacentral:rRNA from 1 species